rnacentral:lncRNA from 1 species
UUUUGAAGAAGCCAUUGUCUCAGAAGGCUCCUUCAUCUUCUCAGCCUACCCUUUCACCAUUCCCUUCUGAUUCAACAAAUCAGCAGAAAAAUGAUAGCUAUUUUUUGGUUGAGAAGGGCGCAUCCAAUUACAAGAUUCCUAAGGAUGUUGAAGAUUUGGUUAAGAAAGACAUUGUGCCUGAUGUUUUGAAGAAGCCAUUGUCUCCGUCGACUUACAAAGACUACUUUGCUGCUCUGCUGUACGCUGAGGAUUUCUACAUUGAGGUGAUUAAUUAACAGUGACCUUUUUGCAUGUUGUUCUCUAUAUUAUCAUUUUGUGUGUGUUUAUUUUCAAGCUAGAACCAACAUAAAACUCAUUUUCAAAAAAAAAAUAUCAACAUAAAACUCAUAAAAUCUGAAUUUAGAUACAUACUCGGAUUAUGUGCGAAAAAUCGACAAAUCAAGGUUGUGCUACUGAAUUCUAGUUAGAGGAUGAUCACAAAGCUGGAAAAUCCCCGCAGAUCACGUUGCAAGAACCCUCUAAGCUUCUCUUGGCUCGAAUUCUCUCAAAUUGCACUCUUUAGCUCAAUGGCUUGUCCCUAGCUUGUCUCUUGUACCUUUCUCCAUGGAUUUACUCUUUAUUUAUAGCAUUCCAAGAGUAGUGAAUCAUCACUAAAUAAGGUUAAACUAUUGUUGGAGUCAUCUUCCACUCAGUGAUCACUUAAUAUCUUAGGAUAUUAUAUCAUUCCACUCAAAAUUGAUCACUUAAUUCUUGGUCUCCUCAUGGGUGACCUCAAAAUGAUAGAACCCUAAUGUACAUGUAUAUCUAUUUACAUACACAUACACAUACACAUACACAUACAUAUACAUAUACAUAUACAUAUAACUUCUUUGCUACCAAUUGUAUAUUGUGUACUGUGGCUGUUCAGUGGAAGAUGCUUUUUUUGUGUUUAGUGCAGUACUAUCCCCUUUGCAAUGUUAGUUUACCUUGUAUCCGAUAAAACAUCAUGUGGGUGAUGUAUUUAGCAAUCAUCAAACAUGUUUUGCUGGAGAUACAUAAUUUUAUAUUUUAUAUCUCUGUCUCAGUUUUUCGUUAGAUUUACCAACUAGGCUUCUCGAGACAAGCCUGUUUAGAUUUAAAAGUGAUUUAUAGGAAUCUUAUAUGUUGUAGAUGAUUGAAUGCAAGGUGCAUCUACGGACCAAAAACAUUACAGUUUCAUCCAAGUUCUUUCUUUCAUACUUCCUAAUUGUGUUUAGAUGUAAUAAUGGCUUUGAUUUGAUCAGAAGUGGAGCGGUUUUCAGUUAUUCAAUGUCACAUUGGAGGUGCAUAAAGCUGCAAUAUAUGAUAAAUCACUCAAGAACAAGAAUCUGAAGGAAAGUGAUGAGAAGAAUGAUAAACUCUUUGUAGCCUUUGAAAUUGAUUCUGUUCCUGAGAGACGACCAUUUCUAUUAUCUAGAGAUUUUGUCCACGCACGACGUUCGGGCAGCAACGCCAAGGAGUUUCAAGUAAGUGUCGUGAGCUUUCAAACUAAUAAUUUGUAGAAUCUCUUUUAGUGAUAAAUAUUCAUAUCUUCUGCCAAAUUGAGAAUCUAUUUUAUGCUUCUUUCUCCCUAUGCUUUCAAAUUUUUGGAAUAUAAUUCUAGUCGCAGCUAUCAAUAUAAUUUAUAAAUUAUGACAUUUGAAAUUCUGCAAACCUACUUAAUUCAAACCUACUUAAUGCAAACUAUUGCUCAGUUUGAACUAUAGAUGAGUGAUGAGCAUAUAAUACAUACAUAUUUUACCAUUAAUUAAAUAAUUGUUAGCUAUAUUUAUUUGUUAUUUUUAAUUAAUUGAAUUAUUUUAUUGAAUAGGGAAUUAAUUGUCCAGACAUUUUGUUUUUCUGGUUGAAUAUCUUCGGAAAAUAUCUCCUUAAUUUUCCGAAUAUUUGUUUUCUCAAAUCCUGUCCAGGGUAUUCUUUACCGGGUGGUGAAGAGCAACGUAGUGUUGGUUGAGUUUGAAGAAGAUUUUUAUUCACUGCAUCAUCCAAAGUACAGAUACGAUAUUAGCUUCUCAUUCAACCGAGUCUGUUUGAAACGAGCUCACCAAGCAAUUGCAGCUGCAUCACGUUCUUUAUUUGAGAACUACCUGUUUCCUGAUUUUACCUCUAGAAAGAACAUCAGUUCCUCAGAAAUUUGUCUUUAUGGUAAUCGUAACCUUGACUCAGAUGGCAACUCUGCAGUUCGUCGGAUCCUAAGCUUACAUGGGAGGCCACCUUAUCUUGUAGAGGGUCCACUCUGUGCAACUAGUGACAAUCUAUCCAAAACUGGAUUGGUUGUUCGAGAAGCAGUACUUGAAAUUUAUAAGAGGUCAUCUAAGUGUCGAAUUCUAGUCUGUGCUCCUAUAAAUAGAACAGGUGAUGUAUUAAUGAGAAGUUUGAAGAAGAAGAUUCCAAAGUCUGAUAUGUUUCGAGCCAACGCUGCAUUCAGAGAGGUAGAUGGGGUACCAGUUGACAUCCUCCCCUUGUGCCUUUAUGAAGGGGGGGAGUGUUUUCAAUUGCCUUCACUUCAGGAAUUGAUGCAAUUCAGGGUAAUAUUCUCAACUUUUACAAGCAGCUUUCGCCUUCACAACGAGGGCAUACCUGCUGGGCAUUUUAGUCACAUUUUUCUUCUUGAUGCCUCAUCUGCUACUGAGCCAGAGACAAUGAUAGCUCUCACAAAUUUGGCUAAUGAGCACACGACCGUGAUACUCACCGGUACUCCUAAUAACCGUACGAGUUGGGUCCGCUCUGAUAUUGCUAGGAAGAAUGGAUUAAGGGUGUCAUAUUUUGAAAGACUUCAUGCCACCAAGACCUAUAGCAAUUUCAAUCCAAUGUUCAUUACUAUGCUGUAAACUUUGAGUACUGCAGUAACAAUAACCUCUGUUAUAACUUAGUUUACUUCCAUGAAUUUGUUACUACUGUGCCUGGUUGUAAAUGUGUGAAUGUAAGAACAUUUCUUUGAUCUGUUGCUUUUGCACUUAUUGCUCUAUCUAAUUCAUGCAGUCCAAUUCCAUGAUGAUUGAUUGUUUUCAUUUUCAUAGAUUAACCAAAAUUCAAGUCUUCAUAGAUUGUAUACAGGUCACAGUACUCCAUCUCUGGAUUAUUAGUCAUCUCCACAAUCCUGCACAACAGCCAGAAGGUAGCCCUUCUUCCAUUUGAUCUUCAUUUACUUUGAUGUCAACAUCGUUUAUAAUGUUUGCCUCCGCUUACAUUCGUGUAUUGCUUGGUCAUAGCUUUUAGUAUUUAAUGGGGUGUAAAAUACUUUUAACAUUUCAACAACAUGCAGUCUCUUCUUCAGAUUUAUUAUUUUUAAUUGUCUAACAAGUACACAGAGUUCUCUCAUUCAUUUAGUUUCAGAAUGAUAAUUACUUACAUUGGUUUAAUUAAGUUUAUCUAUUGAUUGUUCCAAACUUCAACCCCAAGAUUUCUCAUCAAAUGAACUAUAGGGAUUCAAACUAUCACUCUCUGCAUCUCUCUCUAAAAAUAAAUUGAUUUGCUGUUGAUUUAACUAAUAUGCCUGAUCCUCUAAUUAUUCCUUGAUUGUUACUUGCCUAGACUGUGGAGUUAAUUAGAUUUUAUAGAGCUCUACUCAGUGCGGCUGAUUAUUGUUAUAUUUUUGAUAAAACCAAAUAAAGGAAAGAUGCAUAAAUGGAUGUUCUUUGGUUGCAGAACAGCAUGUUCGUUGAAAUUUUGAGAUGCAUUCUUUGCUGUUCCAGUAAAGAUUGUCAUGAAACUGAAAGGGCUCCUGGGAGACAAACUCUCUACUCGGAACAUCGAAUCACAACACUUCUCUCAGGAAUUCUAGUUUUACUAACCACGAUCUACUGCGUCGAGAUGAUCCAAGCAAAUUCUAUUACUACGGAUAUUACCCGCAUGUAUCAAUUAGUAAGUAAACUACACAGCAGCCUAAUGCUAUGUCACAGCAAUCCGAAUAUGGUAACAAGUCGUCACUGAAAGGGAAUAAUGAAGAGUCUCAGUUUGAAGAGCUCAAGACCACCACCACCUUCAUCCUCCUAUUACACAUGUUCAUCAUCACCUAAUAAAUCACAGUCCUUGACACAAUUGUCAUCAUUCCCCGAACCUGCAUCUGCUUUGUCUACGCCAUUUCUAUCACCAAAAGGGCCCCCACUGUCAUCUUCUAGCACUUCAUAACCUGCAUCCUUCAUCCCAAGCAUCUUUGUCGUUGUCUAACCCUGCACUGUCUGCUCUCAGUCAAUCUUUAUCAUCACCUAAACCACCUUCAUUUAAUUCUGAACAACAUCAAUUACGUGCUAAGCCACCAGCAUCUCCAUCUCCCCGUAAAUCCUCUCAAUCUCUAUCUGGUUCUACUUUGACGACGAAAGACGCAGUGCCUAAAGUUUUGAAGAAGCCGUUGUCUCAGAAGGCUCCUUCAUCUUCUCAGCCUACCCUUUCUCCAUUCCCUUCUGAUUCAACAAAUCAGCAGAAAAAUGAUAGCUAUUUAUUGGUUGAGAAGGGCGCAUCCAAUUACAAGAUUCCUAAGGAUAUUGAAGAUUUGGUUAAGAAAGACAUUGUGCCUGACGUUUUGAAGAAGCCAUUGUCUCCCUCUACCUACAAAGAUUACUUUGCUGCACGGCUAGAUGCCGAGGAUUUCUACUAUGAGGUGACUAAUUAAUUAUGCCCUUUCUUCCUGUUUUACUUUAUUGUCUGAUUUCACGCGAUACAACCUCACUUCUACUAUCAUAUGUUGUAUAUAAUUUCUUUUCAUUGAAGACAUAUUUGUUCUGAUUAAUGCCGAACCACUCACUCAUGGUUAUGCUGCAAUUAAGAUGGUUUCUGAUUAAGUAAUCUAUGUACAUCAUAGUUAUGGAAAAGAUUUCAAAAUAGCCAGUACAAUUUACAAUGAAUCAAAGUUGACGCAUGGGAGCAUUAAAAAAUCUAGGGAGCUCUGUUAGAAAGGAUAUGAUUUGGGCUGGUAGCAGGUUGUAUUAAGCCAGAUUUCCGUUAUUCUGGGACCUCUUAAAGAAUCUAUCUAACCCGUCCGUGUAAGAAAUAGAACCAAACAGCAGAGAUUAUUAGAAUGGAUUAUAUUAUUUUACAAAAAAUGGCGCUAUCCACGCCCAACUAGUUUCCUUACAGAACCCCUUGAAAAACCAAUGAGAAAUUAUUACAGUGUAUCAGAUCAUAUUAACAAGAUUGGUGCUAUUUGCUCAUCACUUAUUUUCCUUAAUUAUAUUAAUACAAGUGAACUGAAAUAGUGAAAUGUUUAGAAACAUAAUUUGGAGAGUGUUGGAUUGGGGUUUGCUUCACUCAGGUGGGAAAGCAAAUUACGGGACAUCCAUAAUCCAUAGUUGCUUUAGACUUUCUGUAUACUUUGAUAUUUUACUGCAUUUUAAUUUACAUGAGAUGACAUGAUAAAUACAAAUAAUUACAAAUUUCAGAUAUUGUGACCAGUAUUUUUUUUAAUUCUUAUAUUUUGCCUAGAUGAUUUUGUGGAGAAACAGACUAUUGAUGUGACACCCUAGGCAAAUCUCACAUUGGUAAAGUACGAGAGAGAUGCUGGGUAUAUAAGGGGUGAUCUACACAUUAAUUGGCUUUGGGGUGUAUGGGCACCCCAUGAACAAAACCGUGCGGGCCUUAUUAAGGCCCAAAGCGGACAAUAUUUUACCAAGUUUGGGUUGGGUCAUAACAACUGAAUAUAAAUUCUUUCUCAUAAGAUAUAAAAAUAAGGGUGGGACAGAUGCAUUUUCAUUUUCCCUUCUUAAAUGGGUCCAAUUGUACUUGUAUUUAUGUGUUUUUCCCAUAUCUUUAUUUGUGCUUCUCUAUAGGAACUUUACUUGUAUUUUAUGUCUUUGAUUUGAUCAGAAGUGGAGUGAUUUUCAGCUAUUGAAUGUAACGUUGGAAUUAGGUGAAGCUACUCUAUAUGCUAAGUCACUCAAGAACAAGCAUUUGAAGAAGCAUGAUAAGAAAGAUGUUAGAUUCUUUGUAACCUUCGAAAUUGAUUCUGUUCCUGGGAAACGGCCAUUUCUCUUAUCUAGGGAUUUUGUUUAUGCACAAUGUUCAGGUGGAAUAUCAAGGAAGUUUCAAGCAAGUCUCCUUAUCUCACAAACAUAUAAUUUGUAGAAUCUCUUGCCGUGCUUUAGUGUGGUUGAUUUGCAUAUAAGCCAAAUUGAAAAUUCUAUUUUAUGCCUCUUUCUCCCUAAAUUUUGAAAUUUUUGUAGUAAUAUUAUAGUUACACAUUUCAAAAUAAAAUUUUAACAAUGCCAUUCGAAUUUUGAAAGCCUGCUAAUUUCACACUUGUUGUAAGAAUGGGAGCAUGAGGUAGGACAAUAAGAAAGGAUGGAUUAGUGAUAGAGUAGAAAAAAGAGCCCGUAAGUGGAAAAAGAAAUAGAGAGAAGAAAGGGAGAUACCCAUUUUUCAUUAUUCCAAUAACUAUCAUUUAUAAAACAAAAAUUAAUGCCCUAUUAUUGUGGCCAACAGAUAACUAAUAAUGGCAGACCAUAAUCAACUUCUUAGCAAAAAACGAAAUCUACUAGUAAUACAUGAUGAAAAAAUAAAUCAACCAAGGUAACUCCUUAUUCAGCAUUUCCUAAAUCUAUAUAACUUCAUUCUACAUCAUUGUGUCAUUUUGAUGGAAGCGACUGAACCUGACAGAUUAUAAUUUAAUUGUUGUGUGUGGCAUCCUAACAAAUCAACAUAAACUUCUGCUAGAUUUUUCAUACAAGUGAGUAAGUGCAUAAAUUUUUUACAUGACCACACAUUGAAGUCUGACCUUAUAUGGCCGUUUCAUUAAAAUUUUAUCAAUCCAACCAUUAUUUUUCAGUUUGAACUUCAGUUGAGGAACAAAUGCGCUGUUUAAGAACAUAUUAUAAUUUUUGCACAAGGACAUCCAUUGAGUUUAGUGACGAGCCAAACUAAGCCUGAUUGAUAUUUCCUUGAUAGAAAUUAUUUGAUCUUUUUCCAGUCAUGCAAUUUGGAAACUAAUUUUUCUACGUUUGAGACCCAUUUCCAUCUGGUUAAUCUCGAUUGAAUUUGUACGAAGUGGUAACAUGUAAUGUAGCUUGGACUUAGUCAUUUUGUUUUAUGGUUUCAUACCUCCAUCUUUUCCAGAAUACCUGACCGGGGUAUUCUUUGUCGAGUGGUGAACAGUACUAACGUGUUGGUUGAAUUUGAAAAAGGAAUUUUAUUCUCAGCACCAACAGAACUGCAAAUAUGAUAUUAGCUUCUCAUUCAACAGAGUGUUUGAAACGGGCUCACCAGUCAACUGCAGCUGUGUCAGAUCAGUUAUUCCAGAACUGCCUUUUCCCUGUUUUUGCCUGUCAUAAACAUAUACCUUCGUCAGAACCUCACUUUUACGGCAAUUGUAAACUUGAUUUGGAUGGCAAUUCUGCAGUGCGUCAGACAUUGAGCUUACAGGGCCAGGCGGCCAGCCACCUUAUCUUGUGGAGGAUCCACUCUGUGACUAGAAAGAAAAAAGGAAUUACAAGAUGAAGAUGUAUUUGAGUACGUACUUUCAAAAAACUGGAAAUGUUGUUCGAGAAGCAGUGCUCCAAAUUUGUCAGAGGUUACCAAAUAGUCGAAUUCUCAUAUGUGCUCCUUCAAACAGAACAUGUGAUGUGCUAAUGAAAACUUUGACGAAGGUUAUUCCAGAGUCAGAUAUGUUUCAGGCCAAUGCUGUAACACCCCAAUUCGACUAACAAGAUACUACGGUGAAAUUGAGGUGGAACUGCAUUUUAUCAAUCUAACUUCUAAAACCACCAAAACAACAUCCAAUGAUAAAUGUUCUAAAUAGCAUUUAGAGAAAUGGAUGAGGUAACAGAUGACAUCUUCCAGGUGUUGAAGGGACUUGUCCUCCACUUGAGCAACUGAGACAAUACGCGGUGAUAUCUUCAACUUUUGCGAGUCGCUUUCGCCUUCACAAUAAAGGCAUUACUUUUUUUUUUUGGGUCUUAACCACGAGCAGCAGUCGCAGGGUCUCAACUGUGGGAGACACUUUUAAGUAUGUAACACAAUUUAAAUUAGAAGUCUCGCUCGAAUCGGAAGGCACAUAUUCUCCCAACAAAGGUGACUUCCCAACUAUUCGAACUGAAAAACAAAUUAAAUCAAGCUACUUAAGGGGACUCUAUUGCUAAUGGAGCCAACGCCUUGUUGGUCAAUAAAGGCAUUACUGCUGGAUAUUUUAGUCACAUUUUUCUUGUUGAUGCAUCGCCUACCAUCGAGCCAGAUGCACUGAUAGUUCUCAGUAAUUUGGCAAAUGAGAACACGACUGUAAUAGUCUCUGGUGCUUCUUAUGACCAUCCACGUUGGAUCCGAUCUCAUAUUGCUAAGAAGAAUGGAUUAGAGAUGGUAUAUUUUGAAAGACUUUGUUUUUCCGAGGCAUAUAGGAGUUGCCAUCCAAUGUUUCUAUUCGCGGCUGUCAACUUCCAUAGAAUAAAUCCGAUAGUUGUCUUCCAUUCACCCAUAUCAAUCUGCUAGUGGAGGUAACUAACGGAAACCUCUCCUGUAACUAAUUUGCUGCUGCUCGUGAUGUUGUUACUACUUGCCUCGUGUAUGUAUGUGUGGAUGCGAGAACAUUUUCUCUGUAACGAUAGUUCAAUACUCGUUACUCUUUUAUCUAUUUAAGGUUGUGACAGCUGUUUGCAAUUCUUUAUAUACAAAGAUUAGACCGUUCUUAUCCGUUGGCAAAGAAAAUUAGCCCAUUAAAUUCAAGCCGAUGAAUACACCGCCAAGCAAGAGGCGCAGUGACAAUAUCAACUAAGCGCGUUCUGGUUUUGCUUAUUUUUAUUUUUAAAUAUGAACGGAAUUCACUAAUAUCCGUUAAAAGAAUAAGUCACGUGGGAAGGGGAACCUCGUACGCUCGUACUAAAAGCCCAAAAAUGAAAAAUCUCUCAAAAUAUGAACGCUCGCUUAUUUUUAAUCUUUUUUAUUGUAAAUAUAAUAAUACAUUUAUUGCUUUAUUGGUGGGAAUUGGAAAUUUGGAACCCCGGACUCCGCAAAAUUUCCGCUUUGGUCAGCUUUCACUGUCUCAUCUCAUCUAGUCAUUAAAGCCCUUGCCGCGGGCGCAAGUGAUGACGUGGCGAUACUUGGUUGGGUUUGUAUAAUACUAGAAACGUCCGAGCUCUUCUUUUUCCUGCCUACUCAUUCAUGGCUUUUGAAGUGCUUCACUUUCACUGUCACCGAGUUAUUUGAAGAACAUAAAGUCAGAAAAGCUGAUCCGACAAUCAUCCCCAUAAUCCCACAUCUGCACAACAGCCAGAAGGUAAUCCUUCUUCCAUUUGAUCUUCAUUUACUUUGAUGUCAACAUAGUUUAUUAUCUUUGCCUAUGGUUACAGUCGUGCAUAGAUUAGUCAUAGCUUCUAGUGUUUAAUGGGGUUCAAUUUACUUUUAACAUUUCAACAACAUGCAGUCUCUUUCUUGUUCAGACUUAUCAUUUUUAAUUGUGUAACAAAGACGAAGACUUCUCUCAUUCAUUUAGUUUCAGAAUGAUAAUUACUUUCUUUGGUGUAAUUAAGUUUAUCUAUUCAUUGUUACAAACUUCAACCCUAAGAUUUCUCAUCAAAUGAACUAUAGGGAUUCAAAUUAUCACUCUCUGCAUCUCUCUCUAAACAUAAAUUGAUUUGCAUGUUUGAUUUAAUUUAUAUGCCUGAUCCUCUAAUUAUUCCUUGAUUUUUAGUUGUCUUGGUUAAAAACAGACUGUAGAGUUAAUUAGAUUUCAUAGAGAUGUACUCAGUGCAGCUGAUUAUUAUUAUUGUUUAUUUGUAUUCUUGAUAAAACCAAAUAGAGGAAAGAUGUAUAAAUGCAUGUUCUUUGGUUGCAGAGCAACAUGUCUGUGCUCGUUAAAAUUUUGAGAUGCAUUUUUUGCUGUUACGAUGAAGAUUAUCAUGAUACUGAAAGGGACUAUCGGGCGAGAUUACUUGGAACAUAUAAUCACAACUCUUCUGUCGGGAAUUCUAGUUAUCACAACUCUUCUGUCAGGAAUUCUAGCUUUACUAAUCACGAUCUUCUGCGUCAACAUGAUUCAAACAAAAUCUAUUACUAUGAAUAUUAUCCGAAUGUGUCAAUUAGUGAGCCAACUACAAAGCAGCCUAAUGCUAUGUCACAGCAAACAGAAUAUGGUAACAAAUCGUCACUGAAAGGGAAUAAUGAAGUGUCUCAGAGUUUAAAGAGCUCAAGACCAUCACCACCUUCAUCCUCCUGUUACACAUGUUCAUCAUCACCUAAUAAAUCACAGUCCUUAACACAAUUGUCAUCAUUCCCUAACCCUGCAUCUGCUUCAUCUAAGCCAUUUCUAUCACCAAAAGGACCCGCUCCAUCAUCUUCCAGCAAUUCAUCUUCAUCAUUCCCUAAACCUGCAAUUCCUUCUUCAAAAGCAUCUUCAUCAUUGUCUAGCCCUGCAUCGUCUGCUCUUAGUCAGUCUUUAUCAUCACUCAAACCACAUUCAUUUAAUUCUGAUCAACAUCAAUUAACUGCUAAGCCACCUGAAUCUCUUUCUCCCUUUAAAUCAUCUCAAUCUUCAUCUGGUUCUACUUCGACAAAGAAUGACACUGCACCUAAAGUUUUGAAUAAGCCAUUGUUGCAGAAGGCUCCUCCAUCUUCUCAGCCUACCCUUGCUCCCCUCCCCCCUGAUUCAACAAAUCAGCAGGAAAAGGAUAGCUGUUUAUUGGUCGAGAAGGGCUCAUCCAAUUACAAGAUUCCUAAGGAUAUUGAAGAUUUGAGUAAGAAAGACGUUGUGCCUAACGUUUUGAAGAAGCCGUUGUCUCCAUCUACCUACAAAGAUUACUUUGCUGCACUGCCAUAUGCCGAGGAUUUCUACCAUGUGGUGAUUAAUUACUUAUGUCCUUUCUUCCUGAUUUACUUUAUUGUUUGAUUUCAUGCAAUACAUAUUCAUUUCUACCAUCAUCUGUUGUAUAUUCUUGUUGUUGGAUAUAUGGGUUCAGGAGGGCUCAUCAUCUGUUUACAUGCCUCCCAAGAAUAGUGAAAAUUUGAUGAAGAAAGAAGCUGCCCCUGAAGUUUUGAAGAAGCCAUCUUCUCCAUUGUCCCGGAAGACCCCUUCAUCUUUGAAGCCUGCUCUUUCUCCACUGCCUAAUGAUUGUACUAAUCAACAAACAAAAGGAAACCGUGUAUGGGUUCAGAAGGGCACAUCGCCUGUUUACUUGACUCAUAAGAAUAAUGAAAAUUUGAUGAAGAAAGAAGCUAUGCCUGAAGUUUUGACGAAGCCAUCUUAUCGAUCAUCCCAUAAGUCCCCUUCAUCUUCUAAUCCUACUCCUUCUCCCCUCCCCAGUGAUUCAACAAAUCAACAAACAAAAGGAAAUGACACAUGGGUUCAGAAGGGCACAUUACCUGUUUACAUGACUCCCAAGAAUAAUGAAAAUUUCAUGAAGAAAGAAGUUGUGCAUGAAGUUCUGAAGAAGCCAUCUUCUCCAUUGUUCCAUAAGGCUUCCUCAUCUUCUAAGCCCACGCUUUCUCCACUCCCCACUGAUUCAACAAAUCAGCAGAAAAAGGCUAGCUUUAUAUGGGUUCAGAAAGGCGCAACUAAUUACAAGAUUCCCAAGGAUAUUGAAGAUUUGAUCAAGAAAGACAUUGUGCCAAAAGUUUUGAAGAAGCCAUUGCUUCCAUCUACCUACAAGGAUUACUUUGCUGCGUUGCUAUAUGCUGAGGAUUUCUACGAAGAGGUGAUUAAUAAAUGAUGCCUUUGAUCCCCAUUUUUCUUUAUUGCAUGAUUUCAUGUGAGAUAAUCUCAUUUCUACCAUCAUAUCAUGUAUAUACUUGCUUUUCAUUGAAGACAUAUCUAUUGUGAUUAAUGCAAUACCACUCGCUCAUGGUUAUGCUGCAAUUAAAAUGGUCUCGGAAGAAGUCAUCUAUGUGCAAUUGUACAUCAUGUUAAUGGAAUAGAUUUUCAAAAUAAAUAGUACAUACAAAUACAAUAAAUCAAAGUUGAGUCAUGGGUUAGAUUGUUGAGAAUUCUAAGGAGCUCUGUUGAAAGGGAUAUGUUUUGAACUGGCAACAGGUUGGAUUGAAUCAAAUUUAUGUGUUGUGGGACCUCUUGAAGAAUCUAUCUAACCUGUUCGUAUAAGAAAUUUAGAACCAAACGGCAUAAAUUAUUAAAGAGUUCUUUAGGUUAUAUCAUAGUGAAUGGUGCCAUCCAUACCCAAUUAAUGUUACUUGCAGAACCCCUAGUAAAACCACUGAGAAAUUAUUAGUUUGCAUCAGAUUAUAACAAGAUUGGUGCAAUUUGUACAUCACUAAUUUCCUAAAACUGAAAUGUUUAGGAACACGAUUUUCAGAGUGUUGGCUUGAGGUAUAUUUCAGUCAGGUUCGAAAACAAACUGAAGGAAAUCCAAAAUCUAUUUACCGUCUUUUGCUUAACAUAAGAUAGCAUGAUGAAUAAAAAGAUUGGAAACUCUGAUAUUUUGAAUAGUAAGUUGUUUCUUUAUUGUUAUUUUUUGGUUAGAUUAUUCCCCAUGGGCGCAAAUUAUUGGGACAGAUGCUUUUAUUCAGUGAAUGCAGUUCAGUUGUAUUUGUAUUUAUGUAUUCUGUCAUAUCUUUAUUCUUGUAGGUAUUCUUCCAAGCUUCUCUAUCCAAAGCUUACAUUUUUAUAAUAAGAUGAUUAGAUGUUGCUGUGGACUGAAAACUUUCAUCAAAGAUUUUUCAUGCUUUUCUAACAUUUUAGAUAAUUUUUUUGGCUUUCAUUGUGAUCAGAAGUGGAGCGGUUUUCAGUUAUUCAAUGUCACAUUGGAGUUGCAUAAAGCUGCAAUAUAAACUCUUUGUAGCCUUUGAAAUUGGAGUGAUGAGACGGAUGAUAAACUCUUUGUAGCCUUUGAAAUUGAUUCUGUUCCUGAGAGGCGACCCUUUCUUUUAUCUAGAGAUUUUGUUUAUGCACAACGUUCAGGUGGCAAAUCCAAGAAGUUUCAAGUAAGUAUCCUGAUCUUUCAAACUUUUGAUUUAUAAAAUCUCUCGCCGUGCUUUGGUGACAAAUGUGCAUAUCAGCCAAAUUGAAAAGAAAGAUAGAGAAUGAAAAAAUAAAAAAUGUAGAGAAUAGUGAAAGUGAUGCAGAGCAAGAAAUUGAAGAAAUCCUAAUUAUAUUUAAAUGUAUAAUAUUUAGGAAUAUUUUAAUUAAUUUGUAUUCUAGUUUAAUUUGGUUUCCUAUUUAGAGUCUUAUUGUUUAGGUAUUGCUUAUUUGGGUAAUAUUCCUAAUUUAGGCAUAAGUAUUAUUAAAAUAGGUUUUCUAAUCAUAUUAGGAUAAGUCUUACUUAGUAUAAAUAAGUGUCUUUUGUAGCUUUUACAAGCAGAGAAUUUUGAGUUUAAUAAUAUUUCAAUUUUCAAAUCUCUUUGUGAGUAUUUGAACAGUUAAUUCUCGGUAUUCUGCGGAAUCAACGAGUCUUAAUCCCUAAAUUCGCGGUAUUCUUUUGAAUCAACGUGGGUUUAGUUGUUCUAAUGAUAGAACCCUCUGCUGUACGGCCAAGGCGGAUGUACGGUACAGCAGAACGGAAUAUUUUGAACAUUAAACUUCCGCUGCAUCAGUUUGUUAUGAAGUUGAUUUGGAUCAAUCGCCGAAAUUUGAUGAGUAUCUUGAUAUUGUGGGACGAGAAGAGGUAAUUGUUCAUCCAUCUUUUGAUCUUGUGGAGGAGAGAGAGAUAGUCGUUGAUACAAUCUCUUAUUGUUCUCUUGAUUUGCCGAAAGAAGACAAAAAGAGUUGUGAUAUUUUUCAACAAUUAGUGGAUUAUGAAAAGAAAUUGUUUUUCUUCAACUAUGUUGAAGUUCGACACGAACAAUAUGAGAAGACAUUAUUAGAGAAGUUGUUGAUAGAAGAAUUUAUUUUACGCUAUUGGAGUGAUUGGAUGGACGUUAUUACAAAAGUUGGAAAAUUUAAAGUUCGUUGUCUAUGUCGAAGCUCUAUUUUAAAAAUUAAUCCUUAUGCACAUGAAGAUGUUCUUGAAGACUACAACAUACAAAAUUCGAGGACGAAUUCUCUCAAGCCUGGCGGGAAUGAUGCAGAGCAAGAAAUUGAAGAAAUUCUAAUUAUAUUUAAAUGUAUAAUAUUUAGAAAUAUUUCAAUUAAUUUGUAUUCUAGUUUAAUUUGGUUUCCUAUAUAGAGUCUUAUUGUUUAGGUAUUGCUUAUUUAGAGUCUUAUUAUACUAGGAUUAGUUUCCUUAUUAACUAAAGUUUAAGACUUUUAAAUUCCUUUCUAAUUUAGAAUUUUGUUUCCCUUUCAAUUUAGGAUUUUGUUUUACUUCAUGAAUUAGGAUAAUUACUACUACUAUAAAUAGCUCCCUCUUGUAGCCUUUGAAAGCAGAGAAUUUUGAGUUCAAUAACAUUUCAAUUUUCAAAUCUCUUUGUGAGUAUUUGAACAGUUAAUUCUCGGUAUUCUGCGGAAUCAACGAGCCUUAACCCCUAAAUUCGCGGUAUUCUUUUGAAUCAACGUGAAUUUAGUUGUUCUUUUAUUCCGGUAUUCUCUAGAAUCAACGGAAUAUUUUGAACAUUAAACUUCCGCUGCAUCAGAAAGUGAGUAGAGAGAAAAGUCCAAGUGUGGAAAAAGAGAUGGAUAGAAGUGAGGGAGAUACCCAUUUUUUGUUAUCUCAAUAAAAAUCAUAAUAAAAUACAUAGUUUUAGUCCUAUUUAUUUUAGCCAACAAAGAACCAAAAAUACAACUUCUAACCGAAGAGAGAUCUGCUACUAAUAAGUGAUGAAAACUAAAUCAAUUAGCCAAAAUAAAUAAGGAGAAAUAAAAAUUCAAAAUUAAACUUAUUCCUAACUCAACAACUGGACCUGACAGAUUCAUGUUCUGUAGUCCCUGAUAAGUUAACAAGACUAUCUCUUGAAUUUCAUACAAGUGAUCAAGUGCAUAAACUUUUUACGUAUAAGUGGCAUCUAAUUUGGCCAUUCCUUUCGAUUUUUAUGUAACCAACCAUUUUUUUGGUUUGAACUUCAGAUUAAAGAACAAAUGCUCUGUUUUAAGAUAGAUUAUAAUUUCGCACAAGGACACCCAGUAAGCUUAGCAUUUUGCUGGUCAUGUAACUUUGAAACUAUUUUUUGUACAUAUCUGGAUCAUUUUCCAUCUGGUUAAUCUUGAAAGGAUUGGUACAAAUUGAUAACAUCAAAACUAGCUAGGUCAUCGUCAUUCAAUCAUUUUGUUUGUUGUUUAUUGUUUGUUCAUAUUUCCAUCUUUUCCAGAAUAUUUAUGUUCGCAAAUCCUGACCAGGGUUUCCUUUAUCGAGUGGUUAAGUGGACUACUGUUUUAGUUGAAUUUGAAGAAGAUUUUCAUUCUCAGCAUCAACCCAACCACAAAUAUGAUGUUAGCUUCUCAUUCAACAGAGUCUGUUUGAAACGGGCUCACGAAGCAGUUGCAGAUGCAUCAGAUUCUUUAUUCAGGAACUACCUUUUUCCUGAUUGUGCCUCCAGAAAGAGCAUCCCUUACCCAUCACUUUGUCCUUAUAGCAAUUAUAAACUUGAUUCGGAUAGCAAUUCUGCAGUGCAUCAGAUAUUAAGCUUUGAGGGCCAGUCACCUUAUCUUCUAGAGGGUCCACUCUGUAAUAAUUUUGUACUUUCAAAAACUGGAAAUGUUGUUCGAGAAGCAGUGCUCCAAAUUCGUCGGCGCUCGCCUAAGAGUCGAAUUCUUAUAUGUGCUCCUUGGAACAGAACUUGUGAUAAGCUAAUGGAAUGUUUGAUGAAGGAUAUUCCGGCAUCAGAAAUGUUUCGAGCCAAUGCUGCAUUCAGAGAAGCGGAUGGGGUAUCAGAUGAAAUCUUUCAGGUAUCACUUGUUGAACGGGAGUGUUUUUCUUGUCCUCCACUUGAGGAACUGAGGCAAUAUAAGGUGAUAUCUUCAACUUUUGUGAGUAGCUUUCGCCUUCAUAAUCAAGGAAUAACUGCUGGGCAUUUUAGUCACAUUUUUCUCAUAGACGCGUCGUCUGCCACCGAGCCAGAGACAAUGAUAGUUCUUGGUAAUUUGGCUAACGAGAACACAAGAGUAAUAGUCACUGGUGCUCCCCAUAACAGUCCAAGUAGGGUUCGAUCGGAUAUUGCUAGGAAGAAUGGAUUAAAGAUGUCGUAUUUUGAAAGACUUUGUCUGACCGAGGCAUAUAGGAGUUGCAACUCAAUGUUCUUCUCUCAACUUUUCACAGAAGAAGUCGGAUAGCUUUCUUCCAUUCCCCCAUAUCAGUCUGGUAGCGGAGUAACUAACAGAAACCUCUCCUGUAACUAAUUUGCUGCUCAUGAUGUUGUUACUACUUGCGUUGUGUAUGUGUAGAUGCGAGAACGUUUCCUCUGAGAGUUCAAUACUUGUUAGUGUUUAUAUACAAAGAUUAGACUGUUCUCAUUCAUUGACCGAGAAAAUUAGCCCAUAAAACUCAAGCUGAUUAAUACACCACUAAGCAAGAGGCCCUGUGACAAUAAACUAAGCGCGUUCUGGUUUUACUUAUUUUUAUUUUUUAAUAUGAUCGGAAUUCAUUGAUGAUCCAUUCAAAGAAUAAGUUGCACUUUGUAAUGAAGUCUUUGAAAUGAGAAAAACAAGUCAUGUGGAUCUACAUGAAGAUGUACGCGGCCCCACUUGCACUUUUUGUUAAAAUUACGUGGUCUCGGUCCUCUCUUUGGCUGGGUUUAUUUCACUCAAAGCCAGAAAUAUUAUGCUCGUGUGGGUGUCUAUAAAUAUGGAUGAGGCUAAGUUGCGGCUUCUGCAAGUAACAGCUUUGGCAGGGUAAGCUUGCAUGACCUUGCAUCAGCAGCUUUUUCUCUCUCAUCCAACACGCGUGCAAGCUUUCCAUUUGCUAUAUUACAAACAGAAUCUGUGACAUAGUCCAUACUAUAUGGAUUUAUAUACACACGCACACAAGUUUUUCCUCAUCUUCUCCUGCAGUAAAGUGCUUUGCCUUUGGACUCUUCUUUAGUGCUUUCACAAAAAUUGUCUUUAGUACAAAUAAAAAUAAAAAACGGAUCCUUGACUACUAGCAUUCUUGAUCUGCUCAAGAACCAAAUGGUAAUUAUAUUGCAUUUGAUCUUCAUUAAUUUUUAUUUCAAGAAUUAAAAUCUUUUCAUCUUAUGGAAGAAUAGUUUGAGUUUCAUCUUACUUGAACAUAGAGUCAUGCAUGCUUUAUUUGAUUGCUAGUUCUUCUGUUUUUAGGGGAGCUUAAUCUUCUGUCCACAUACUUUUAACAUUCAAUUAACUUGUACUAAUAUAAUACGAUUUUACAUUUUCUCAUGCACUUUGGUUCAGUAUGAUUGCUUAAAUUUUAUCAAAUGAUGUUUAAAAUUCUCUUACAUUACUAAUCAACAAUUUUUUUAUGGGUUCAUUUAUCCUCUAAUUGGCCCCCCUGAUUUCCACUAUAAGUAAUCUUGGUUACAGAGAAACUUCAGUUUCUGAUUUUCAUCAUUUGGAUAAUGUCAAUUUGAUUAAAUGCAUUACACAGUAACUUCAUUGUUUCUUCUUCCUCACCAAGACGUAUAAAGUUGAUGUUGUCCGGCAGUGUGUGUGCAUUAGGCGAAAUUUUGCUAUACAUUUUCGAGGACCAAGAUCAUGGAACUAGUAAUGAGACUUCAGAGAUAGACCCUUCACUCGGAUCACCUUCCUACAACACUUCUGUUAGGAAUUCUAGUCUUGAGAAUAAUGAAGCAUCUUCAUCGUUCUCUAGACCUGCAGAAUCUUCAUCAUUCUCUAGACCUGUAGCAUCUCCACUUAGUUCUGAUCAACCUCGAUCAUCAGCUUCUUCACCAUUCUCUAGGCCUGCAGCAUCUCCACUUACUUCUGAUCGACCUCGAACAUCGGCAUCUUCAUCAUUCUGUAGACCCGCAGCAUCUCCACUUAGUUCUGAUUAACCUCGAUCCUCAGCGUCUUCACCAUUCUAUAGACCUGCAGCAUCUCGACUUCUGGUCAACCUCGAUCACCAGCAUCUUCACCAUUCUAUAGACCUGUAGCAUCUUCAUCGACUUCUGAUCAACCUUGAUCAUCAGCUAAGUCAACUGCAUCUUUAUGUGGUUUAUCUCAAUCUCCUUCCAUGCCAACUUCAUCAUCCCAAAAAGCUCCUCAGUCCUGUAAGCCCACUCUAUCUUCACUCAGCUUUAAUCUAACAAAUCAAUAGAAGAAAGCUAAAUAUACAUGGAUUCAAAAAGGGACAUCACCUAUUUACAUGAUCCCUAAGGAUAUUGAAAGUCUAAUCAAGAAAGAUAUUGUCCACUUUCUCAUUUCAUACAAAACUUAAUGCAUAUUCAUUCUUGUGCGAAUGAACUCUCGCAUAUACUUUCUGCUGUCCACAUAAUUUAGCUAAACACAUAAUAACACAUCACGUAAAUACAUAGGCAAAAUCAUAUAAAUUCAUAUCCGUACAUAUCAAAUAUAGGUUUUUUAAACUUGUCAAACAUGUACAUAUUGUUUAUUAUGAUUCAUUUAGAAGUUUAGUUUACUUAUGUCUUGGCAUCCACGUAUAAAAAAUGCAUAUUGAUAUAAUCGACCUAAAAAUCAUUAACAAAACUCUGAUUAGAUAUAAUCACAUUAUAAUCAUAAACUCUAAUAGCAUCAAAUUUUACAAGGCAUAUGCUGACAUAUUAGAAAUUCAAUGCUUAAACCUUCAUAGCUUAAUUCCUUCAAAAACUUUUGAAAAUAAUUACGUUUCAAACAUCAUCAAUUUUGUCAAAUAGUUUUCUGUUUCGAACAUAUUUGUUUUAAAAGUACAAAACAAUUUUUUGUUUUAUCAUAAAAUCAUGAAAUUUUCCUAAAUCACUCUAGACAUACAUAAAAAUCACUAGUCCAAAUUUCAUCAUUUUUGAAUAAAUCUAGCUUCGGUAAAAUAGUUUCGUAAUUCAUGUUCUUCACUGAAAUUAGAAAUUUUCAGGUUUUUAGACUUGAGUUAAAAAAAUCGUAAUAAAUUGAAUUCUUAUAUGAUUAGUCGAAACAAACUUCAAAAUAUUCUUGAAGAUGUCUAAUUUAACAUAUCCAAAAUCCAGAAUCAAAAUCAAUAUGUACAAAUUACUAUGAUUUUCGAAAUAACUCAUUGUCAGCAUAUUUUCUGCAAAAUUUUAAAUUUCUAUUUCUACUACAAUUAUCUAAUCAUACUUCUUCAUAAUAAAUUAACAAAAACCAAGAAUUGAAAUUUACCUCUAAUCUUCUCCCAACAUAAUAUCAAAUUCAAAUUACACAACUUUGAUCUCAUGUGUUGCUUAGGGCCAUUUGACGAAGAAGACUUCUUCUCUUUUUCUCUUCUUCUCUCUCUUUGCUCUCUUCUUCUUUCUUUCUUUUUUUUAGCCGAUCUCUUUCUCUCUCUUCAAUGAUAAAGGCAAAGCAUCUUAUUCUUUUUAUACUAAAAUACAAAGACCACUAACAAAUUGAAAAGACUAAAAUACCAUUAAGAGAAUUGAGAUAUUACAGUACAAGUUGGUUCUGCACUGAUAUUGCUCGGAAUAAUUGGUUAAGGAUGUCAUAUUUUGAGAGACUUCGUGUGACCGAGGCCUAUAGCAGUUCUGACCCAAUGUUCAUUACAAUGGUGUAAACUUUGAGAUGAACUCUUUUAUCCUUCUGUUGUCGUAAAUCUUAUCUGCUAUUGCAGCAACAGCAACCUCUAUUAUAACUUAGUUUUCCUCUCGUGAAUUUGGUACAAUGCCUUGUUGUAAUUGUCUGACUGCAAGAUUAAUUGAUUUGUUAUUUUCGUACUAGUUGCUCUAUCUAGUUCAUGCAUUCCAUGAUGAUUGAAUGUUUUCUUUCUCAUGAAUCAACAAAAAUUGAAAUCUUCAUAAAUUGUGUGCAGGUCGUUGCAUUUUCUGUCUCCAUUUUAGUUCUGUUCUGACUAUCAUAAUAGAACUCAUGCGCUUGAGCGGGCUGACUACUUCGAUUUUGCCGGUAGAAGUAUCAUAACCACCAAUAUUGGUUUGGAGGCAUCUUUUGCCAGUAGAUUCAUCUUGUCGAUCAAGAUUGGAUUUGGAUUUUGGAGGCGUCUUUUAAUGGGUGAAACGAUAUGUUGAUGUUAGAAUCUUUUAGUUCGUUUGUUAAGGAAUAAGGAUUAUGAUACAACCCCAAUAUUACAGUUAGACAAGCCCAACUCAGCUAGCUCUAUCAAUAGCGAGGAAAAGGCCCAGGCAAACUCAAGUGAGGCUAUCCAAAACCGACCCCAAGAUAACAUCAAGCCAAGUCGCGUAAGGAAGCCUCCCAAAUGGUUCAAGGAUUACACACACUGAGCAUAUAUGAGCAGAGGAUUCGGUUUCUAACGGCUUUAGCUAUUUAGAGAAUAAUUCUUUGUUAUAGAGAGAGGUUGUUAUUUAGUUUUGACAGCUGUGAGCAUAUUCUUGCUGCUAUAAGUAUUUCCAUGGUUGUAUUUGAUGAUAUAUAUAAAAUUCUGGACUCAGUUUCUUCUUCUUCUCUGAAAUUUUCUCUCUAUUCUCUCUUGCCAUUCACUCGUUUCUUUAAAAUUCUGGGAGCUUGCACUUGCUUGAAAAGUGUGGAAACCUUGCUGUUCGGUGUGCUCACCAGCGGCAUAACAGAUUAAGAACCGCAAGAGGGUUAAUCAGAAUAAGCAUAUUAUGGGAUGAGAGAAUAUCAUGCCACAAAAUUAGCUUUUUGCUUGGACUUAAUUUAAAAGUUGGCAUCUAAUUAAUUAACCCGGAGAAGAAUAAGAGACGUGCGUGGCAGUAUAGAAGUGGAACCUCCUACAGUUAAGAGUCUUGUUCAAUUAAAAAAAAAAACUUUUUCAGCUUACUGACAACUCUCAUCCACUCUAUUUAUAUGCCGCACAUGGGUCCACAUGAUGACGUGGCCUCACUUGGUUGAGUUUUCUAUGCAAGAAACAAUAUGCUUUCAUCUCCCAUGCAAAGCUUUUAACUUCUGGAUUCUUGAGUUGUGUUGGAGUGCCUUUUAUACUGUGUGUAAGUCGUUCUUUGGAAAGGAAGAUUAAACUGAAAAACCACUUGUGUAAUUGUGUUCCAGUAUUCUCAUCUGUAACAAAAGAACCAGGAGGUAAUCAAUCGUGCUUUUGAUCUUCACUUAUUUUGAUUUCAGGAUAGUUUCAUCUUACUAGCACUUACAGAGUCAUGCAUGAGUUUAUUGAUUUCUUUAAUGGUGUUCAAUCUUCUUUAUUUUGCUUUCGCCGCAGGAUGUUUAAGUGGAUGUUCAUAGGCUGCGCAGUGUAUGUGUUAGGUAAAAUUUUGCGAUACAUUUCAAGCGACCAAGAUCAUGGAACUGAAAGUAAGAUUUCGAAGGGAGACCCUUCACACGGAUCAGCUUCACUUAACACUUCUGUUAGGAAUUCUAGUUAUGAGAAUAACGAUCGGCAAGACCAAUCUGAUCGAACCCAAAUCAAGUACUACGAUAAUUACCCGAAUUUACCAACUAGUAGCUCAACUACAAAAAGGAGUGGAGCUGUGUCUAUUGAAUCAGAAUAUGUUAACAAGUUUAUGGAAGGAACUGAUGAAGCGUCCUCGAGAUUGAAAUAUAGAACAUCACAACCUCCAUUUUCCUCUAAGCCAUCACUCCCUAAACCCGCAUCAGUUUCUUCUAAGCCAUCCGUAUCUCCAACUGAACCUCCACCAUCAUCUUCUAGUCCUAAACCUUCAAUUCCUUCUUUUAAAGCAUGCUCCUCGUUCUCUACACCCGUGGCACCUCCCCUUACUUCUGAUCAACCUCGAUCAUCUGCUAAGCAAUCUCCAUCUUCAUGUGGUCCAUCUCAAUCUCCCUCCGUGCCAACUUCAUCAUCCCCGAGCACCCCUGAGUCCUCUAAGCCCACUCAGUGUCCACUCUGCUUUAAUCCAACAAAUGAGCAGAUGAAAUCUAAUAAUACACGGGUUCCGAAGGGCGCAUCAUUCCCAAAAGCCCCUCAGUCCUCUAAGCCCACUCGGUGCCCAUUCUGCUUUAAUCCAACGGAGGACCAGAUGAAAGCUAACUAUCCCAAGGAUAUUGAAAGUCCGAUCGAGAAAGAUAUUGAGCCUGAAGAUUUGAAGAAUCCAUUGUCUCAGAAGGCGCCUUCAUCUUCUCAGCUUACCCUUUCUCCGCUUCCUCCUGAUUCAAAAUAUCAGCAGGAAAAUGAUCGCUAUAUAUUGGUCGAGAAGGGUGCCUCUAAUUACAAGAUUCCUGAGGAUAUUGAAGAUUUGAUCAAGAAAGACAUCGUGCCUGACGUUUUGCAGAAGCCAAUGUCUCCAUCGACUUACAAAGACUACUUUGCUGCUCUGCUGUACGCUGAGGAUUUCUACAUUGAGGUGAUUAAUUAACAGUGACCUUUUUGCAUGUUAUUCUUUCUAG